CCUACGGGAGGCCGCAGUAGGGAAUCUUCCGCAAUGGGCGAAAGCCUGACGGAGCAACGCCGCGUGAGUGAUGAAGUAUCUCGGUUCGUAAAGCUCUAUUAUCAGGGAAGAACAUACCUGUAACUAACUAUGCAGCUCCGGCUAACACCGGACCAGCAACCGCGGUCAUACUAAGGGCGAAAGCGUUAUCCGGAUUUAAUGGGUGAAACGGGAGCGUAGACGGUUUGGCAUGUCUGAAGGGAAGGCCCGGGGCUCAAUCUCGGGACGGCUUUGGAAACUGUCAUGCUGGAGUGCGGGAGAGGAAAGUGGAAUUCCUAGUGUAGCGGUGAAAUGCGUAGAGAUAUGGAGGAACACCAGUGGCGAAGGCGGCUUACUGGUCAGUAACUGACGUUGAGGCGCGAAAGCGUGGGGAGCAAACAGGAUUAGAUACCCGAGUAGUC
rnacentral:rRNA from 1 species